AAAGAACUCGUUCGCAGCUUUCUCCUCUUGUGCCGUUGAUCUCUUUAGGACGUGAAUGCUUUUUAUCAGGCCUUGGCUCGUCUUUUAUAUCACUUAUAUCAGAGUUCUAAACCCUAAAAUUGACUGAAAAGUCGUCCAAGAAGUCUUGGUAAACAAGGAAUCCAAAUAGGAAAGUAAAAAUCACAAUUCCUAACUCCACUGGGAAAUACAGCUCAG
rnacentral:lncRNA from 1 species